GCUUAUCCUUUUUGAUAGAAUCGAUCAAUUAGCCCGUCUCAAGGUCUUCCCAGAUAUGCGGCCUUGUUGGAACAAAUGGAGUUGGAAAAUCCACAUCACUUAAAGUCUUAGCUGGCAAGCUGAAACCUCACAAUCCGGCAAGAGAUCAUUACAUACUUCUAGGGUUCUGAGCUUCAGAAUUAUUUUACAUGUAUAUUGGAGGACCUGAAGAGCUGUUUAAUCCAGCAAUGAAACGCAGGUCAUCGCCCAUUCUACUCGCAGCAUCGGCACAAACUGCCGCUGCUGACCAUCAUUAUUCGGUCGUAAUCCCGGCGUCCUCCUCCUGUUGUGCCCUUGGCUUAUUGCCUCGAGGUGCCACCCAAAUGCGCGUGGCUGCAAAAGUGUUUCAUCAUGGUCAGGCGCAGGUAGAUGACAACAAGCUGCAGAACAAUGAGCAGCUCGACAGAGGAGUACCGACGCAACGCUCGCCAUAGGGAAUUGGGAAGGUACAGAGUUGGGCUCCCCUGAUCACUAUAUUUAUUGGGAAGCUUGGUACAAGACAAUCUUAGUUUGGGCUAUGAUGCAACAAUAGGUUUUGAUUGCCAAAGCUGGACUUGACUGAGCAGAUACAUUGACGAUGUUCAUCAAGGGGUUGUUGGAUAUCUUGACCGGUCUGCAGUACUUGGAAGAAAACUUCCUAGGUAACGUUCAGGAGAUAAAUGAUUUUAAUGUUACAUAGCACACUCCUCUCUGCAUGUUCCAUGCCAAGUGGAGCAAACCCUGUUUUACUGCUUUUGUGUGACUGUAGUUUGGAACAAGAUUCCUUCAGUGGGUUCUACAUUUUAAGUUUAAUAUGAGAAAUGCUAUCAAAUUAUCAAUAUGCACUUAUUAUUGUAACUCAAUGUGAAUCGAGUUCUUUGUAUUUCUUUGUGCUUGUUACUGGGUAUUAUUUGUUAAGACCACUCUAAGCAGAGAGAAUCAAAACAAAGGAUGGUAAGCUGAAACUUAUUGCAUUUGUUUUUGAAAAACUACCAUUGUUUCCAGAACACACAUAAACUAUAGCUUUUUAGUAGCAACAUCCAUUCUUAUUCUCAGAUUCUCAAAUGCAGUGGUGCAUGAAAAUAGAUUCCUAGCCAUAGGAAAAACUAUGUUGUGAAGCCCAAUAAAACUUGAGAAAAUGGGUUAAUGAUGUGGUCCAAGCAAGCUUAAAUAAGAGGUAAAGACGCCCAGAUCCUGGGAUUACCAAAGUUAACGUUUACGUGGCAUUCUCAUGUGCCAAUGCUCGUGCGACCAUGGAGUUAAUUGUAAGACGUACUAGAGGAUGUGGUACGUACGACCUGUGAAGGAGGAAGAAUGGCCUGAUGUUACCUUUCAAUAUGAUUGUCAGGUACUGAUGGAGAUGUGGAACUAAUGAAAAGAGAACACAUCAGACAUUAUGGGCCUCCUGUGUGAAAUUGAAGAGCCGAGCCAAGCCUUUUGUCCCUUACGGUGUCUUUUAUUCUUAGAGGCUGAUUUUUGUGUGCAAAGCUGCCCCUGCAGGUUAGUGACCGGAGACUGUGGCAUAAUGCUGCUCCGGAUCAACUUGCUUUUUGAUGCAAACUGACAGUAAUCAUGAGGAAGAGAGCUGAGCUCCUUUGAUUGUGAAAAAAGUCCCUUUGAUCUUUUGGUGUUAAGAGGAUUGUACUUCACAAUAUUGGUUCAAUGCCGUUGAUAUUUUUAUGUGAGAUAUCUGCUUUCCAUUUUAGUGCUCAUUCGGAUGUGUUUUGAGUAUUUGCAACAUGUGAUGGAGUGUCAGGAUUUUCAUAAUACACUAUCAAUGCCUAUGCCAUUUGCAACUUUACACAAGCAUUUGGUUAGCAACCUCAUCUAAGAAGUAUGUGUUGAUCUACUAUCCCUUAUUCUUUUCCUCAAAUUUUAGUUAUGAAUUGCUUACACCAUAAUAUUCAAGACCAAAUGUAGGAUUAUGUCUCCAUGUACUAAGCAUAAU